AUUGAACGCUGGCGGCAGGCCUAACACAUGCAAGUCGAGCGGGGUUUUCGGACCUAGCGGCGGACGGGUGAGUAAUGCGUAGGAAGCUACCCGAUAGAGGGGGAUACCAGUUGGAAACGACUGUUAAUACCGCAUAAUGUCUACGGACCAAAGUGUGGGACCUUCGGGCCACAUGCUAUCGGAUGCGCCUACGUGGGAUUAGCUAGUUGGUGGGGUAAUGGCUCACCAAGGCGACGAUCCCUAGCUGGUUUGAGAGGAUGAUCAGCCACACUGGAACUGAGACACGGUCCAGACUCCUACGUGAGGCAGCAGUGGGGAAUAUUGGACAAUGGGCGCAAGCCUGAUCCAGCCAUGCCGCGUGUGUGAAGAAGGCCUUCGGGUUGUAAAGCACUUUCAGCGAGGAGGAAGGGAGUUGUGUUAAUAGCACAGCUUUUUGACGUUACUCGCAGAAGAAGCACCGGCUAACUCUGUGCCAGCCGCCGCGGUAAAAC
rnacentral:rRNA from 1 species